CACGUAGGGGGCAAGCGUUGUCCGGAUUUAUUGGGCGUAAAGAGCUCGUAGGUGGUUCGGUAAGUCGGGUGUUAAACCCCCAGGCUCAACCUGGGGACGCCACUCGAUACUGCUGUGACUAGAGUCCGGUAGGGGAGCGUGGAAUUCCUGGUGUAGCGGUGAAAUGCGCAGAUAUCAGGAGGAACACCGGUGGCGAAGGCGGGUCUCUGGGCUGACACUGACGCUCAUGCACGAAAGCGUGGGGAGCAAACAGG
rnacentral:rRNA from 1 species